CACUACAUACCUAAAGAGAGAGGAAGAAAGAGACGCACAUAUAGCCACUCACACUUUUCCAGCUGCUUAUCGAUUCACUGCCAUUUCUAAUUGAAUGGGGAAACCGAUAUUAUAAUUAGAGUGAAAUUUAUUAUGGGGGAAAAGUGCAGAAGAGUAAACAAUUUUUCAUGAAAAAUGGACGGCAAAGCCCAUAUUUUUUAUAUAUAAUAUUUUUGUGAGAUCAGAGGUAAGCGUUCUCUCUGAUAUGUUUAUUAAAUAUUUUACUGUUUUAUUAAUCAAAACCUACCAAAGGCGUCUAUACAAAAGGUAAAAAUUCUAAUGUCAUAAACAUUGGAUGCACAAAUACACAUUUUUUUAAAUUUUACUUGAUUCUAUUGCAUAGAAUUAUUUGGCCUUAAUUUGUUAGCUGUGACCACAACUUGUCAAACUGUUAUACAGCCGGUUCAGGAAUUUGUCGUUUAUCGUGUAAAACAAAGAAUUUAAUUAACAUUAGAAUUCAACUUCAAAUCAACACAACCAUUUUGUGGUUGGGGCCAAAACAAUUGUGCUGCGAAUAAGAAAAAGCUCUCGUGAUCACUUAAUACAUUGGAACUUCCAACUACAACUAAGACAAUGCUUAUUGACAAUUCAAUGGCUUUGAAAUAAUGUUAUGUUAUUUUCGUUUAAAUGAGGAAUCAUUUCGUUUUUAAUUAAAUAAGAUAAAGGAAGAUUACUACAAACUCCUUUCUUUGCUGCCUUGAGCAUCUUCUUUGACAUAAGCGGAUCAUUUAAUAAUGUCUCCCAUGGUGCAAUCCUUAAUAGUCUGGAAGCAGCCGAUACAAGAUGCCGUCAUGGAAACUCCCGAGGUUUAACGGGCUAGAGUUAAAUACUAAGGAUUAUACUAAGUACCUGGGAGUAACUUUGGGCAGCAAACUGACGUGGAAAAUCAAUGGGGAAAAUCCUAGGGUCCACAUCGGGCUUAUGCAUUGGUGUUACACAGUGGUAGUCAAGUCAAUCUACGGUGCUUUGUUGGGGUGGAGCGUUGCCAGCAAAAUCUGAUACAGGAAACCGUUGGAGCGACCAUGCAGGAUCGCCAAGAUCAUGUGAAAAAGAGAGAAAAGAAAACACGCAAGGUAUCUACGCUCACGUGUCAAAAAUACUGCAGGACGGUUGUUGGUCUAUAUGGUAUAAAUCUACAAGUAACCAAUCCUAAGAUUUUCUCUAAAACAUACGCAAAAAUGGCCCACUUGGUACGGGUUGCCUACUUAUACAAGUAUUCUACUACUAAAAUCACACUUGGCACAGGUUUUCAACUAAUAUUCUACUACUAAAACGUCCAAUUGACUCAAAUCUUCUACAAUUUGUUGCCGUGUUAUGUUUUAAAACUUAUAAAUUUAUAAUUAAGAAUGUUUUUAUUACAUAUUGAAAUAGUUUUCGAUUAUUGAGAUUUCUAAAGAUUAAAUUUACAUUUAUAAAGUAUAUCGC